rnacentral:rRNA from 1 species
CCUACGGGAGGCUGCAGUGAGGAAUAUUGGUCAAUGGACGGAAGUCUGAACCAGCCAUGCCGCGUGCAGGAAGACGGCUCUAUGAUUUGUAAACUGCUUUUGUACAAGGGUAAACCUGAAUACGUGUAUUCAGCUGAAAUUAUUGUACGAAUAAGGAUCGGCUAACUCCGUGCCAGCCGCCGCGGUAAUACGGAGGAUCCAAGCGUUAUCCGGAUUUAUUGGGUUGAAAGGGUGCGUAGGCGGAUUGAUAAGUUAGAGGUGAAAUGUCCGAGCUUAACCCGGGAACUGCCUUGAAUACUGUCGGUCUAGAGAGUAGAUGCGGGAGGUGGAACGUAAGGUGUAGCGGUAAAAUGCUUAGAUAUAAGGAAGAACUCCAGUGGCGAAGGCAGCUUUCUAAUCUGCCACUGACAUUGAGGUUCGAAAGUGUGGGUAUCAAACAGGAUUAGAUACCCUAGUAGUC